AGUCAAUAGAUACCCCGGUAGUCCACGCCCUAAACUAUGAACACUAGGUGUUGGAGGUCUCGACCCCUUCAGUGCCGUCGCUAAACGCAUUAAGUGUUCCGCCUGGGUAGUACGGCCGCAAGGUUAAAACUCAAAGGAAUAGACGGGGACCCACACAAGCGGUGGAGCAUCUGGUUUAAUUCGAUAGUAAGCGAGGAACCUCACCAAGACUUGACAUCCUGGGAAGUCUGCCGAAAGGUGGAUGUGCCGCAAGGAACCCGGUAACAGGUGCUGCAUGGUUGUCGUCAGCUCGUGCCUUGAGGUGUUCGGUUAAGUCCGUAAACGAGCGCAACCCUUGUCUCAAGUUGUAUUUUUCUUGAGAGACUGCCGGCUCCAAGUCGGAGGAAGGUAAGGAUGACGUCAAAUCAGCAUGGCCCUUAUGUCUUGGGCUACACAGGUGCUACAAUGGCCGAUACAGUGAGAUGCAAAGAGGCAACUCUGAGCUAAUCCCAAAAAUCGGUCCAAGUUCGGAUUGAGGGCUGCAACUCGCCCUC
rnacentral:rRNA from 1 species